rnacentral:rRNA from 1 species
GACAGAGGGGGCAAGCGUUGCUCGGAAUCACUGGGCGUAAAGGGCUCGUAGGCGGCCAACUAAGUCGGAUGUGAAAUCCCCAGGCUUAACCUGGGAACUGCAUCCGAUACUGGAUGGCUUGAAUCCGGGAGAGGGAUGCAGAAUUCCAGGUGUAGCGGUGAAAUGCGUAGAUAUCUGGAGGAAUACCGGUGGCGAAGGCGGCAUCCUGGACCGACACUGACACUGAGGAGCGAAAGCCAGGGGAGCAAACGGG